rnacentral:rRNA from 1 species
GUCGAACGCUUCUUUUUCCACCGGAGCUUGCUCCACCGGAAAAAGAGGAGUGGCGAACGGGUGAGUAACACGUGGGUAACCUGCCCAUCAGAAGGGGAUAACACUUGGAAACAGGUGCUAAUACCGUAUAACAAUCGAAACCGCAUGGUUUCGAUUUGAAAGGCGCUUUCGGGUGUCGCUGAUGGAUGGACCCGCGGUGCAUUAGCUAGUUGGUGAGGUAACGGCUCACCAAGGCGACGAUGCAUAGCCGACCUGAGAGGGUGAUCGGCCACAUUGGGACUGAGACACGGCCCAAACUCCUACGGGAGGCAGCAGUAGGGAAUCUUCGGCAAUGGACGAAAGUCUGACCGAGCAACGCCGCGUGAGUGAAGAAGGUUUUCGGAUCGUAAAACUCUGUUGUUAGAGAAGAACAAGGAUGAGAGUAACUGUUCAUCCCUUGACGGUAUCUAACCAGAAAGCCACGGCUAACUACGUGCCAGCAGCCGCGGUAAUACGUAGGUGGCAAGCGUUGUCCGGAUUUAUUGGGCGUAAAGCGAGCGCAGGCGGUUUCUUAAGUCUGAUGUGAAAGCCCCCGGCUCAACCGGGGAGGGUCAUUGGAAACUGGGAGACUUGAGUGCAGAAGAGGAGAGUGGAAUUCCAUGUGUAGCGGUGAAAUGCGUAGAUAUAUGGAGGAACACCAGUGGCGAAGGCGGCUCUCUGGUCUGUAACUGACGCUGAGGCUCGAAAGCGUGGGGAGCAAACAGGAUUAGAUACCCUGGUAGUCCACGCCGUAAACGAUGAGUGCUAAGUGUUGGAGGGUUUCCGCCCUUCAGUGCUGCAGCUAACGCAUUAAGCACUCCGCCUGGGGAGUACGACCGCAAGGUUGAAACUCAAAGGAAUUGACGGGGGCCCGCACAAGCGGUGGAGCAUGUGGUUUAAUUCGAAGCAACGCGAAGAACCUUACCAGGUCUUGACAUCCUUUGACCACUCUAGAGAUAGAGCUUCCCCUUCGGGGGCAAAGUGACAGGUGGUGCAUGGUUGUCGUCAGCUCGUGUCCUGAGAUGUUGGGUUAAGUCCCGCAACGAGCGCAACCCUUAUUGUUAGUUGCCAUCAUUUAGUUGGGCACUCU